rnacentral:lncRNA from 1 species
UUUUAAGAGCAUACGAUACAGUUACAGGGGAGGUAAUGACGUUGCUAACGUAAAAUGUUAUUUUCGCGACGUCAAACUAUGACAUAUCGGGAAAAGAUGCAUUUUUCGAUUGUUUUUUUAUCAUUUAAACUGAUUUAAUUUGAAAACGAAUGCAUGGACCCCUAUUUUUUAAAACGGCAAUUUGUUUCAUUUUUCAAGGAGAUUAUGUGACCCA